rnacentral:rRNA from 1 species
GUGGAUGGCUUGGCUCGAGAGCCGAGGAAGGCCGUGGCAAGCUGCGAUAUGUCUGGGGUAGGUGCAUGCAACCAUUGAUCCCAGAAUUGCUGAAUGGGACUUCCUUUCCAAUAGGAAAGCCAGUAAUGGCGGGGAACGCGGGGAAUUGAAGCGUCUUAGUACCCGCAGGAAAAGAAAUCAAUAGAGAUGCGGUUAAAUUUAUCAGCGAGAGAAAACCGCAUAGGGCAAACCGAAUCCCUUACUGAAAGGUAAGGGAGAUGUGGGGUUUGGACAUACUAUACAAUUCUCUCCAAUUAAUCCGAAUUAUUCUGGAAAGAUAAGCCAUAGAGGGUGAUAGCCCCGUAGGAGUAAGUUGGAAGGAUUAGGUAUGUUCCAGAGUAGGAUGCAUUGGAUAUUGCGUCUGAAUGUGGGGGACAUCAACCUCCAACCCUAAAUACUUCUCGAGACCGAUAGCGAACUAGUACCGUGAGGGAAAGCUGAAAAGAACCUGUGACAGGGAGUUAAAAGACCUGAAACUUAGUGGUUAUAGCAUGGUGCUGCUUUUCGGAGUUGCACCGUACGUUUAGAAUAACGGACCGGGGAGUUGGUCUGAGUGGCGAGGAUAAUUCUUAUAAGGAAGUAUCCUAAGCGAAAGCGAUUGCCCGCAGGUAACGAGGGGCGAGGUGUUAAUGCGCCUUUAGUCACUUGGACCAGACCAGAAACCGGGUGAUCUAGCCUUGAGCAAGGUGAAGCAGGAGUAAAAUCUUGUGGAGGCCUGAAGGGGUUCUGUGGACACGCGUUCCUCUGACUUGAGGCUAGGGGUGAAAAGCCAAUCGAACCCGGUGAUAGCUGGUUCCUGUCGAAGUGGGCCGUAGUCCAGCCUCUGCAGAGAUUGUAAUGGUGGUAGAGCUACGGAUUUGAGAUUUUUGGGGAGAAAUCCCUGGGUCUCUUGUUCAACUCCAAAAACCAUUACAUCAUAGAAGCAGGGAGACGGCGGCAGCCGGUAAGCGACUGUCGCGAGAGGGGAACAACCCAGACUGGAGUUAAGGUCCCUAAAUGCCAUUUGAGUGUUAAAGGGUGAAGGGUGUAUAACACCUAAGACAGAUGGGAGGUAAGCUUAGAAGCAGCUAUCCUUUAAAGAAAGCGUAAUAGCUCACCAUUCUAGGUGUUAUGCCCCGAAAAUGGACGGGGCUAAAUUGGCUACCGAUACUCCAGGCACCUUAUAGGGUUGCGGUAGACAGGUGUCCUGCUAGAGUAGAAGCUAAUACGUGAGUGUUAGUGGAUCUAGUAGGAAUAAGAAUCCCGGUGGUAGUAGGAUCAGUCCAUAGUGCAAAUCUAUGGUACCUUAAGGGUAAGGGUUUCUUGGCAAUGUAGGUCAGCCAAGAGUAAGUCGAUCCUAACCUAGCUAGUAAUUUAUCGAGGGGAAAGGGAAAAUGGUUAAAAUUCCAUUACCAUCCAGAUACUCGGUGACGAAAGGUUUGUUCCUGACACUUGGGGAUAGGUUAACACUUCUUGUCUGGAGUGCUAAUCGAGAUAAGGCAAGGGAGAAUUAUAAUAAUGAGAACUUGCUUAAACUCGAGAAUGGUCUGCCUUAUGGUGGAUUUAGCCGAUUCCUCGAGUCCGUGAAAAGGGAACAAAUCGGAUUCUGGAUGAUCGUACCCAGAACCGGCACAGGUACCCAGGGUGAGAAGCCUAAGGUAUGUGGGAGUAAUCCUGCUAAGGGAAUUCGGCAAAUUAGUUCUGUGCCUUUGGCAUAAGGAAUCCCUGCGAUUGUGCUCUUUAGAGUGCGAUUACAGGGCGCAGUGACUAGGGGGGCCCGACUGUUUAACAAAAACGUAACUGGCUGCUAGCCUGUGAAGGUGUGUAUAGCCAGUGACGUCUGCCCAGUGCUGGUACUUGAAACUCCUUUUCAAGGGAGAUAAGAGCCAGUAAACGGCGGGAAUAACUAUGAUUCUCUUAAGGUAGCGAAAUGCCUUGCCGUUUUAAUGACGGCCUGCAUGAAAGGCGUAACGAGGUCCCCACUGUCCCUAGUAGGAGUCCCCUGAACACACUAUACUGGUGCAAAGGCCAGUGACCUCCGGUGGGAAGCAUAGACCCCGUAGAACUUUACUACAGUCAUUUGUUGUGAUGUUAGUUUUGUUGUGCAGCGUAGGUGGGAGUUGUUAAAGCUCAGACGCCAGUUUGAGUGUAGACGUCUAUGAGACACCACUCUUCAAAGCUGACAUUGCUAACCUUCGAAAGAAGGGACAGCGGAUGAUGGGUAGUUUGGCUGGGGCGGCACCCUGCUGAAAAGAUAUCGGCAGGGCCCAAAGGUUAGCUCAAUCGGUUCAGAAAUCCGAUGUGGAGUGCAAGAGCAAAAGCUAGCCUGACUGUAUUCCGAAUAAUAAGGAAUGCAGCAACGAAAGUUUGGUCUAGCGAACCCUUGUGUCCUCAUUGAUGGGGGCCAAGGCAGACAGAAAAGCUAUCUCGGGGAUAACUGAGUGGUAGCGCCUAAGAGCUCAAAUCGACGGCGCUGUUUGCUACGACGAUGUCGGCUCAACUCAACCUGGGCGUGCAGAAGCGCCCAAGGGUGGGGGUGUUCACCCAUUAAAGAGUUUCGUGAGCUGGGUUCAGAACGUUGUGAGACAGUUUGUUCGAUAUCUAGCGGAGGUGUUCAGUGUCUGAGAGGAAGGACCUUCUAGUACGAGAGGAACGAAGGUUCGCGGCCUCUGGUGUACUGGUUAUCUGAUAAGGUAGGCCAGGUAGCUACGCCGUAAGCGAUAAGAGCUGAAAGCAUCUAAGCUCGAAGCGUACCUCAAAAAGAGACACUACAAGCUCUCGUAGAAGACGAGUUUGAUAGGAACGGCGUGUAAGUACUGAGGCAACGAGGUAUUAAGCGCACGUUUACUAAUCGCU